CAAACACAGAGUGACGUCCAGAGCUCUGCUGAGCUGUGGGGAAGUUCAUGAAUGUUAUAGUUGAUGUUUCAGAAAAAAGGAAGAUGUUUGAGAACCAACAAAACACAGACCACAGAUGAACAAAGUGAUGUGGCACUAGGAGACUUUAUACCAGAUGCCCUCCCUGUUACUGUGUUUAGAGGAAGAAAAGCAGCACAUGGCAGAGACCAGAGCUUCUUCACUGGAAUAAAUCUUCACACUGUCCAGCUCCAAACUGUGUGUCUCUGUCCCUGUGCUCUCUUUGUGUUUGAUUCUGUUUAAGACAAGACAGAACUGUGGAAAACUAAAGACUGUUUUUGUAUUCUUUUACAGAAUUAGAUCAAUUAAAUUACAUUAUACAUACUUAUACAUUUCAUGAUAAGGUACCAUAAGAUAA